rnacentral:rRNA from 1 species
CCUACGGGUGGCAGCAGUGAGGAAUAUUGGUCAAUGGGCGCGAGCCUGAACCAGCCAAGUAGCGUGAAGGAUGACGGCCCUACGGGUUGUAAACUUCUUUUAUAAAGGAAUAAAGUGAGGCACGUGUGCCUUUUUGCAUGUACUUUAUGAAUAAGGAUCGGCUAACUCCGUGCCAGCAGCCGCGGUAAUACGGAGGAUCCGAGCGUUAUCCGGAUUUAUUGGGUUUAAAGGGAGCGUAGUUGGGAUGUUAAGUCAGUUGUGAAAGUUUGGGGCUCAACCGUAAAAUUGCAGUGGAUACUGGCGGCCUUGAGUGCAGGUGAGGCAGGCGGAAUUCGGGGUGUAGCGGUGAAAUGCUUAGAUAUCACGAAGAACUCCGAUUGCGAAGGCAGCCUACUAAACUGCAACUGACGUUGAUGCUCGAAAGUGUGGGUAUCAAACAGGAUUAGAUACCCUAGUAGUC